rnacentral:rRNA from 1 species
AGAGUUUGAUCAUGGCUCAGGACGAACGCUGGCGGCGUGCUUAACACAUGCAAGUCGAGCGGAAAGGCCCCUUCGGGGGUACUCGAGCGGCGAACGGGUGAGUAACACGUGAGCAACCUGCCCCUGACUCUGGGAUAAGCCUGGGAAACUGGGUCUAAUACCGGAUACGACCCGCCAUCGCAUGGUGUGCGGGUGGAAAGAUUUUUAUCGGUUGGGGAUGGGCUCGCGGCCUAUCAGCUUGUUGGUGGGGUGAUGGCCUACCAAGGCGACGACGGGUAACCGGCCUGAGAGGGCGACCGGUCACACUGGGACUGAGACACGGCCCAGACUCCUACGGGAGGCAGCAGUGGGGAAUAUUGCGCAAUGGGCGGAAGCCUGACGCAGCGACGCCGCGUGGGGGAUGACGGCCUUCGGGUUGUAAACCCCUUUCAGCAUCGACGAAGCUUCAUCCUUGCAGGGUGGGGUGACGGUAGGUGCAGAAGAAGCGCCGGCUAACUACGUGCCAGCAGCCGCGGUAAUACGUAGGGCGCGAGCGUUGUCCGGAGUUAUUGGGCGUAAAGAGCUCGUAGGCGGUCUGUCGCGUCUGUCGUGAAAGCCCACGGCUUAACUGUGGGUCUGCGGUGGAUACGGGCAGGCUAGAGGCAGGUAGGGGAGCAUGGAAUUCCCGGUGUAGCGGUGAAAUGCGCAGAUAUCGGGAGGAACACCGGUGGCGAAGGCGGUGCUCUGGGCCUGUUCUGACGCUGAGGAGCGAAAGCGUGGGGAGCGAACAGGAUUAGAUACCCUGGGUAGUCCACGCCGUAAACGUUGGGCGCUAGGUGUGGGGUUCUUCCACGGAUUCCGCGCCGUAGCUAACGCAUUAAGCGCCCCGCCUGGGGAGUACGGCCGCAAGGCUAAAACUCAAAGGAAUUGACGG